AGUAGACCCGGGCGCGGGGACCAGGGGCCUGGGCGUCAGGAGCGCAGCUGCCCGGGAGUGGGCGAGGUGCAACAGACAGGCCACUGCCACAGACCGGCUUGGUCCCUGUACGGUGUCGGUACCACCCUGUGGGCUUGUUAAACAGACUUGCAGACUUGGGUUCUGAUUGUUUGCAGAUGUGGGUGUGGCCUGACAUUUUGAUUUGAGGGUUAGUUGUGAUGAUUGAUCCUGAUUGCCAGCUUGACAGGAUCUAGAAUCACAUACAAGACAAAGCUCUGGGGGUACAUCCGUGAAUUUCUGGACUGGCUGUGAAGGGAAGAUGCAGCAUUCCAUGGGUUGGAGAAAGUGAGCUGAACAGCAUUUGGCUCUGCAUCCUGUCAGUGGAUACUGGUGACCAGCUGCCUCACCCCACAUGACACAUACUGCAUCAGCAUACAGAAACCCUAGGCUAAGCAUUGCCCUCAAACACAGGGAGCAAAUACGUCUGUUCGGGACACUCUGACUUCACCAGAAGACAGAAACAAAGGUCUGGUGACUAUCCCUCCUGCCAGUUACCAUGGCCCCAGCUGUGAAGCAACACACACUAGGAAACAAGUGUCCAGUCCUGUGGUCACAGUGUGGAGAGGCUGAGGCAGGAAGACCACCAAUCCCAGCCCAGAGAGCAUAUCCAGCUCCCGACUCAAAGAGCAAAAGAAUGAGGUGAAGAUGGCUCAGAAGGAGAUGUCAUUUGUCCAGGCUGAGGACCUGGCUCAGGUCCUGGGGAACACAAGGUGGAGGGAGAGAGCCCCUGCUGCACCUCGCCUUCUAACCUCCACAUGUAUACCACGGCCCAUGCAUGCCUUGCAUAAAUAAUUUUUAA